rnacentral:rRNA from 1 species
UACGUGAGGGUGCGAGCGUUGUCCGGAAUUAUUGGGCGUAAAGAGCUCGUAGGCGGCUUGUCGCGUCGGAUGUGAAAGCCCGGGCUUAACUCCGGGUCUGCAUUCGAUACGGGCAGGCUAGAGUUCGGGAGAGGGAUGCGGAAUUCCAGGUGUAGCGGUGAAAUGCGUAGAUAUCUGGAGGAACACCGGUGGCGAAGGCGGCAUCCUGGACCGACACUGACACUGAGGAGCGAAAGCUAGGGGAGCGAACGGG